rnacentral:rRNA from 1 species
UACGGAGGGGGCUAGCGUUGUUCGGAAUUACUGGGCGUAAAGCGCGCGUAGGCGGCCCGGUAAGUCCGCUGUGAAAGUCAAAGGCUCAACCUUUGAAUGCCGGUGGAUACUGUCGGGCUAGAGUCCGGAAGAGGCGAGUGGAAUUCCUGGUGUAGCGGUGGAAUGCGCAGAUAUCAGGAGGAACACCAGUGGCGAAGGCGGUGCUCUGGGCCGGAACUGACGCUGAGGAGCGAAAGCGUGGGGAGCAAACAGG